AUGGCGCCCAUGAAAAAGCUUGUGGCGAAGGGGGGCAAAAAAAGAAGCAGGUUUUGAAGUUCACCCUCGAUUGCACCCACCCUGUAGAAGAUGGGAUCAUGGACGCUGCUAAUUUCGAGCAGUUCCUCUAGGAGAGAAUCAAGGUGAAUGGCAAAGCUGGGAAUCUCAGCGGAGGGGUUGUGACCAUCGAACAGAGCAAGAGCAAGAUCACUGUCACUUCCGAGGUGCCUUUCUCCAAAAGGUAUUUGAAAUAUCUCACCAAAAAAUAUUUGAAGAAGAACAAUCUCCGAGACUGGUUGCGUGUUGUCGCCAACAGCAAAGAGAGCUAUGAGCUGCGUUACUUCCAGAUUAACCAAGAUGAAGAGGAGCAGGAGGAUGAGGAUUAAGACACAUUGGUCUGGAAUGUUUUGUAUUAAUUCAUAAAUAAAAUUUAGGAACAAAAAAAA